UCUGCCUAUUAACUCUCUUUGU
rnacentral:siRNA from 1 species